rnacentral:rRNA from 1 species
UAAAUUGAGAGUUUGAUCCUGGCUCAGGAUGAACGCUGGCGGCGUGCUUAACACAUGCAAGUCGAGCGAUGAAGUUU